rnacentral:tRNA from 1 species
AAGAUACUAGUAUAACGAAAAGUACACUGCCUUGUCAAGGCAUAAUUGUGGGUUGAACUCCCGCGUAUCUUG